rnacentral:lncRNA from 1 species
AUGCUCAGCACCAGGUUCUCCCGUGAAACCGCCCUGAGAUGUUUUUUCCUGGCAGUCCCCAGAUCCCAAGGACCCUGGAGUGCCCCCCCCAGACAGAGAUGUUCCCCACUCACUUGCUGUCCCGGUGAGCGCUCAGGGUGUAGACUCAAGGUUCUUCACCUUCUUGGUUGCCCUCUCUGGAAGCUCAUCAUCCCAUCAGUGUCUUUCCUAAUCUUUAGUGCCUAGAAUGGAACACAAUAUUCCAGACAGGGAAUAUUUGGCUGGGAUACGGAGGGUCCCACCCUUUUCUUGGCCUUGUUGGUGAGCAUGGCGGUGGUGAGUAGGCAUGUGGUCUUUAUUUUGUAUUCUCUUUGUUCCUUGAUUUCUAAUGAUCAUUAAUAAAUCUCCUAAAAUAUAUUAUUUUUAUUAUUGC